GGUCAGCAUCGCGUCCUGCUCCUCGCGCUGCUCCUCUGAGAAACCCACCUCAGCCAGGUACUUGUGAAUGAUGAAUGUCUUUUGACUUGACAUUUAUUUCAAUUUGGUGUUGUAGUUGCAUGAUUUGCGUAUGGGCAUCUUGUCUCUUCCUUCGCAUUAUUAUAUGUACAAGUAUGUUGCAACUUUAGCUAUGUAUUGCAUUAAAAAUGUCAGAGUUGUAGAAAUAUAUUCUGUGUAAUAGAAUGUAUUUCAAGGUGCAUCACCAAGCACCUUAAAUUGUUGAUUCUAUUGGAAUGGAGUCCAUUGCAUUUCAGUUUACAUUGGAAUAAGAGUUCCUGUUUCAGUUUAUAUUGAAUUUCUGUUCCCAAUGUGAUAGCUGAAUAUUCUUUUUGCAGCGCGCCAGGCUCCUCCUCCAGCUCCUGCUCAGAGCGGUGGUGGCUCCAUCCUUGGAGGAAUUGGGUCCACGAUUGCUCAAGGUGGUAUUUGAAGCUCGUUCUUUUUGAAUGUUCAGCUAUAAAUGCAAUCCUGGUCCUUGUAUUGAUUUGAAUGUAUGCGAUUCUAUAGGCAUGGCUUUUGGUACUGGCAGUGCCAUGGCACACAGAGCUGUUGAUGCUGUAAUGGGCCCCCGGACCAUUCAGCAUGAGACUGUUGUCUCGGAGGCUGCUGCUGCUGCUCCUGCUGCUCCAAUGAUGAACGGUGCUGAUUCUUGCGGCAACCAUUCCAAGGCCUUCCAAGAUGUAAGAAUGCUCAUCCCCUUAUGGUUCCUAGUACUUCAUAGUUUGCUGCAUUGAACUCUUGCUGCUCAUCUGGAUGAUAUGGUGGUAAGAUUGUGUUGAAUCAUUAUGAUGAUUGAGCUCUUUCAUGUUGCCAUCCACAUUGUCACUAAAGAGUUGUCUUGGAAGUGUUGGGUACAAAUUGGAUCUUGCAAAGGGGCAAAUACUGUCCUUUCCUAUUUGUUGUUGGUCAUCACUAGCGUGAUUAUUUGAGGAAAUUUGUUGUUGGUCAUCACUACUUGUGUGAUUAUUUGAGUAGUGGUUUACUUUCAUAUUGUUUGCUGUUCUUCCUUCUAAUGUGCUCUCAAGUGAUAAUUUCUUCUAGAAAUUGAAGAUCAACAUUGCAUAAAGUACCUGCUGAAAAUUUUGUUAUAAACUUCUAAUAGAGCAAUGCAUCAUGUUUAACCAUGGUUGAUAGACUACUUGAAUGUAGCAAUUACUAAUUUUGUAUUGUGAGAUCUCAGAUUGACUUGGGGUUCAUGGUUAAUGUUUUUCUUGUAUGUACAUUUAGUUAUAAUAGUUGCUUCGUGAUGGGUUCUUACAUUUCUUGAUUGAUGAUGCAGUGCCUCAACCACUAUGGAAGCGACAUCAGCAAGUGCCAGUUCUACCUUGACAUGCUGAACGAGUGCCGCCGUGGUGGUGCGACUGCCUAAGCCGCCACCGCCUCAUUGGAUUUGAUUCAUGGGUUCUCUUUUCACUCUCAUGAUCUCCCAUUAAUAAGACCAAGUAAAACUAUGAGCUACCGCCACAACUUGAUGUCUGUGUGCCGCGACACUAUCACUGGUGCGUGUUGAGUUUGUGGUUAUGUUCUGUUAUCCUGGGAGUAGU
rnacentral:lncRNA from 1 species